ACACCUAGAAGCUUAGAAGUUUCAUGUCUUUGACUAGAAGCUCUGUGUAUUUAACUAGAGUGGCAGAAAAAUUGAAUGCUCGCUGCUCUCCAAGCUGAUCUUCGACUCUGCUAUGCCUGAGCUUGAACAAAAUGCCUCAUAUUCUAUCACUCAAGCAGCAAAACCUGGCUUGGUCCCUCUUUGGGUGGGCAUCCAGUGAUCAGUUCCUUGCUCCUUCAGUCUCUUACUCACAAGGCCUUUCACAUCUCCCACCAAGGCCUAUUUGAGCUACAGAGUCACCAAGCCCACUGAGUGUUCUUCUGAAGGGUUCCUUGCCUAGGAUUCUGCUUCCACAGCCAUAACCACAGUCUGGAUUUUCAUCAUCUUGCACUGGAUUUAUAGCAAUUGCUUUCUAACUGGACUCCAUAAGUGAUCCCACACAUAACCCCCCAACUAUUUUUAAGAUAUGUAUAACCUCUCCUUGUACACACACAUGUAUUCUCCAUCAGCCUAAAAAUCUAUAAGGGUUUCCUAUUACCAACCCAUUGCAUUUAAACCUUGUCUGUGAUCCAAGGACUCUAUAUCUAGAAUCAGACCCCUCUCUCACUUGAUAACUUCCUUUUCCUUCCUGUGUGGGUACACCCCCUCUAAAUGGAAAUGCAAAUCUCCUCUGUGCUUCUCAAUUAUAGCUUGCCAAGUCUUACCCUAUAUUGUGGCUCUUACAUAUAACUUUUUUUUGGAAUGUUCCUGUUUCCCUUUAUCAGUUCAAGCUUCUGUUUUCUUUAAAACUUUACUCAAAGCCCCCUUCCUUCAGAAGUUUAUCCCACUCUGAAUAAUACCUUAUUAUAGUGAAAGUAAUAAUUACAUUCUAGCUAUUAAAUAACUAUUGCAUACUAGAUACUCUGCUAAUAAAUGUGCUAUUAUUGUCUUACCCUUGCA
ensembl:lncRNA